rnacentral:lncRNA from 1 species
GCAAUUCAUCCAGAGGCGCUGGAGGGUUCUCGGGCCCAGAGGGCCUGCCAAAAAGGCAGUCAGACAGUUGGUUUAUGAGUCAUUCUGUCUCUGUCUCUCCUCUCUUUUUUUUUUUUGAGACGGAGUUUCGCUCUUGUUGCCCAGGCUGGAGUGCAGUGGCGCAAUCUCGGCUCACCGUAACCUCCGCCUCCCAGGUUCAAGCGAUUCUCCUGCCUCAGCCUCCCUAGUAGCUGGGAUUACAGGCAUGUGCCACCACGUCCGGCUAAUUUUGUAUUUUUCGUAGAGACGGGGUUUCUCCAUGUUGGUCAGGCUGGUCUCGAACUCCUGACCUCAGGUGGUCCGCCCUCCUCGGCCUCCCAAAGUGUUGGGAUUAUAGGCGGGAGCCACUGCGCCCGGCCCAUUCUGCCUCUCUUACUGCCAAGUAUCCUAGAGCCAUCUUCCGGCUGCAGGGAAUGUGAACUGAAGAGAAAGGUGUCCUCUCUUCUCAUAAAGAGACCCAAAGACGAAUGCCCCGCAGGGUGAAGGUACGCUCGAGCGUGGUCAUUGAGGACAAGUUGACGAGAGAUCCCGAGUACAUCUACAGUCAGCCUUGCGGUAAGCUUGUGCGCUCGGAAGAAGCUAGGGUGAUAAUGGGGCAAACUAAAAGUAAAACUAAAAGUAAAUAUGCCUCUUAUCUCAGCUUUAUUAAAAUUCUUUUAAAAAGAGGGGGAGUUAGAGUAUCUACAAAAAAUCUAAUCAAGCUAUUUCAAAUAAUAGAACAAUUUUGCCCAUGGUUUCCAGAACAAGGAACUUUAGAUCUAAAAGAUUGGAAAAGAAUUGGCGAGGAACUAAAACAAGCAGGUAGAAAGGGUAAUAUCAUUCCACUUACAGUAUGGAAUGAUUGGGCCAUUAUUAAAGCAGCUUUAGAACCAUUUCAAACAAAAGAAGAUAGCGUUUCAGUUUCUGAUGCCCCUGGAAGCUGUGUAAUAGAUUGUAAUGAAAAGACAGGGAGAAAAUCCCAGAAAGAAACAGAAAGUUUACAUUGCGAAUAUGUAACAGAGCCAGUAAUGGCUCAGUCAACGCAAAAUGUUGACUAUAAUCAAUUACAGGGGGUGAUAUAUCCUGAAACGUUAAAAUUAGAAGGAAAAGGUCCAGAAUUAGUGGGGCCAUCAGAGUCUAAACCACGAGGGCCAAGUCCUCUUCCAGCAGGUCAGGUGCCCGUAACAUUACAACCUCAAACGCAGGUUAAAGAAAAUAAGACCCAACCGCCAGUAGCUUAUCAAUACUGGCCGCCGGCUGAACUUCAGUAUCUGCCACCCCCAGAAAGUCAGUAUGGAUAUCCAGGAAUGCCCCCAGCACUACAGGGCAGGGCGCCAUAUCCUCAGCCGCCCACUGUGAGACUUAAUCCUACAGCAUCACGUAGUGGACAAGGUGGUACACUGCACGCAGUCAUUGAUGAAGCCAGAAAACAGGGAGAUCUUGAGGCAUGGCGGUUCCUGGUAAUUUUACAACUGGUACAGGCCGGGGAAGAGACUCAAGUAGGAGCGCCUGCCCGAGCUGAGACUAGAUGUGAACCUUUCACCAUGAAAAUGUUAAAAGAUAUAAAGGAAGGAGUUAAACAAUAUGGAUCCAACUCCCCUUAUAUAAGAACAUUAUUAGAUUCCAUUGCUCAUGGAAAUAGACUUACUCCUUAUGACUGGGAAAGUUUGGCCAAAUCUUCCCUUUCAUCCUCUCAGUAUCUACAGUUUAAAACCUGGUGGAUUGAUGGAGUACAAGAACAGGUACGAAAAAAUCAGGCUACUAAGCCCACUGUUAAUAUAGACGCAGACCAAUUGUUAGGAACAGGUCCAAAUUGGAGCACCAUUAACCAACAAUCAGUGAUGCAGAAUGAGGCUAUUGAACAAGUAAGGGCUAUUUGCCUCAGGGCCUGGGGAAAAAUUCAGGACCCAGGAACAGCUUUCCCUAUUAAUUCAAUUAGACAAGGCUCUAAAGAGCCAUAUCCUGACUUUGUGGCAAGAUUACAAGAUGCUGCUCAAAAGUCUAUUACAGAUGACAAUGCCCGAAAAGUUAUUGUAGAAUUAAUGGCCUAUGAAAAUGCAAAUCCAGAAUGUCAGUCGGCCAUAAAGCCAUUAAAAGGAAAAGUUCCAGCAGGAGUUGAUGUAAUUACAGAAUAUGUGAAGGCUUGUGAUGGGAUUGGAGGAGCUAUGCAUAAGGCAAUGCUAAUGGCUCAAGCAAUGAGGGGGCUCACUCUAGGAGGACAAGUUAGAACAUUUGGGAAAAAAUGUUAUAAUUGUGGUCAAAUCGGUCAUCUGAAAAGGAGUUGCCCAGUCUUAAAUAAACAGAAUAUAAUAAAUCAAGCUAUUACAGCAAAAAAUAAAAAGCCAUCUGGCCUGUGUCCAAAAUGUGGAAAAGGAAAACAUUGGGCCAAUCAAUGUCAUUCUAAAUUUGAUAAAGAUGGGCAACCAUUGUCGGGAAACAGGAAGAGGGGCCAGCCUCAGGCCCCCCAACAAACUGGGGCAUUCCCAGUUCAACUGUUUGUUCCUCAGGGUUUUCAAGGACAACAACCCCUACAGAAAAUACCACCACUUCAGGGAGUCAGCCAAUUACAACAAUCCAACAGCUGUCCCGCGCCACAGCAGGCAGCGCCACAGUAGAUUUAUGUUCCACCCAAAUGGUCUCUUUACUCCCUGGAGAGCCCCCACAAAAGAUUCCUAGAGGGGUAUAUGGCCCGCUGCCAGAAGGGAGGGUAGGCCUUAUUUUAGGGUGAUCAAGUCUAAAUUUGAAGGGAGUCCAAAUUCAUACUGGGGUAAUUUAUUCAGAUUAUAAAGGGGGAAUUCAGUUAGUGAUCAGCUCCACUGUUCCCUGGAGUGCCAAUCCAGGUGAUAGAAUUGCUCAAUUACUGCUUUUGCCUUAUGUUAAAAUUGGGGAAAACAAAACGGAAAGAACAGGAGGGUUUGGAAGUACCAACCCUGCAGGAAAAGCCACUUAUUGGGCUAAUCAGGUCUCAGAGGAUAGACCCGUGUGUACAGUCACUAUUCAGGGAAAGAGUUUGAAGGAUUAGUGGAUACCCAGGCUGAUGUUUCUAUCAUCGGCAUAGGCACCGCCUCAGAAGUGUAUCAGAGUGCCAUGAUUUUACAUUGUCUAGGAUCUGAUAAUCAAGAAAGUACGGUUCAGCCUAUGAUCACUUCUAUUCCAAUCAAUUUAUGGGGCCGAGACUUGUUACAACAAUGGCAUGCAGAGAUUACUAUCCCAGCCUCCCUAUACAGCCCCAGGAAUCAAAAAAUCAUGACUAAAAUGGGAUAGCUCCCUAAAAAGGGACUAGGAAAGAAUGAAGAUGGCAUUAAAGUCCCAACUGAGGCUGAAAAAAAUCAAAAAAAGAAAAGGAAUAGGGCAUCCUUUUUAGAAGCGGUCACUGUAGAGCCUCCAAAACCCAUUCCAUUAAUUUGGGGGGAAAAAAAAAAACUGUAUGGUAAAUCAGUAGCCGCUUCCAAAACAAAAACUGGAGGCUUUACACUUAUUAGCAAAGAAACAGUUAGAAAAAGGACAUAUUGAGCCUUCAUUUUCGCCUUGGAAUUCUCCUGUUUGUAAUUCAGAAAAAAUCCGGCAGAUGGCGUAUGCUAACUGACUUAAGAGCCAUUAAUGCCAUAAUUCAACCCAUGGGGGCUCUCCCAUCCCGGUUGCCCUCUCCAGCCAUGGUCCCCUUUAAUUAUAAUUGAUCUGAAGGAUUGCUUUUUUACCAUUCCUCUGGCAAAAGAGGAUUUUGAAAAAUUUGCUUUUACUAUACCAGCCUAAAUAAUAAAGAACCAGCCACCAGGUUUCAGUGGAAAGUAUUGCCUCAGGGAAUGCUUAAUAAUUCAACUAUUUGUCAGACUUUCAUAGCUCAAGCUCUGCAACCAGUUAGAGACAAGUUUUCAGACUGUUAUAUCGUUCAUUAUGUUGAUAUUUUGUGUGCUGCAGAAACGAGAGACAAAUUAAUUGACCGUUACACAUUUCUCAGACAGAGGUUGCCAACGCGGGACUGACAAUAGCAUCUGAUAAGAUUCAAACCUCUCCUCCUUUCCAUUACUUGGGAAUGCAGGUAGAGGAAAGGAAAAUUAAACCACAAAAAAUAGAAAUAAGAAAAGACACAUUAAAAACAUUAAAUGAGUUUCAAAAGUUGGUAGGAGAUACUAAUUGGAUUCGGAGAUAUUAAUUGGAUUUGGCCAACUCUAGGCAUUCCUACUUAUGCCAUGUCAAUUUUGUUCUCUUUCUUAAGAGGGGACUUGGAAUUAAAUAGUGAAAGAAUGUUACCUCCAGAGGCAACUAAAGAAAUUAAAUUAAUUGAAGAAAAAAAUUCGGUCAGCACAAGUAAAUAGGAUCACUUGGCCCCACUCCAAAUUUUGAUUUUUGGUACUGCACAUUCUCUAACAGCCAUCAUUGUUCAAAACACAGAUCUUGUGGAUUGGUCCUUCCUUCCUCAUAGUACAAUUAAGACUUUUACAUUGUACUUGGAUCAAAUGGCUACAUUAAUUGGUCAGGGAAGAUUACGAAUAAUAACAUUGUGUGGAAAUGACCCAGAUAAAAUCACUGUUCCUUUCAACAAGCAACAAGUUAGACAAGCCUUUAUCAGUUCUGGUGCAUGGCAGAUUGGUCUUGCUAAUUUUCUGGGAAUUAUUGAUAAUCAUUACCCAAAAACAAAAAUCUUCCAGUUCUUAAAAUUGACUACUUGGAUUCUACCUAAAAUUACCAGACGUGAACCUUUAGAAAAUGCUCUAACAGUAUUUACUGAUGGUUCCAGCAAUGGAAAAGCGGCUUACACAGGGCCGAAAGAACGAGUAAUCAAAACUCCGUAUCAAUCAGCUCAAAGAGCAGAGUUGGUUGCAGUCAUUACAGUGUUACAAGAUUUUGACCAACCUAUCAAUAUUAUAUCAGAUUCUGCAUAUGUAGUACAGGCUACAAGGGAUGUUGAGACAGCUCUAAUUAAAUAUAGCACGGACGAUCAUUUAAACCAGCUAUUCAAUUUAUUACAACAAACUGUAAGAAAAAGAAAUUUCCCAUUUUAUAUUACUCAUAUUCGAGCACACACUAAUUUACCAGGGCCUUUGACUAAAGCAAAUGAACAAGCUGACUUACUGGUAUCAUCUGCAUUCAUAAAAGCACAAGAACUUCUUGCUUUGACUCAUGUAAAUGCAGCAGGAUUAAAAAACAAAUUUGAUGUCACAUGGAAACAGGCAAAAGAUAUUGUACAACAUUGCACCCAGUGUCAAGUCUUACACCUGUCCACUCAAGAGGCAGGAGUUAAUCCCAGAGGUCUGUGUCCUAAUGCGUUAUGGCAAAUGGAUGGCACGCAUGUUCCUUCAUUUGGAAGAUUAUCAUAUGUUCAUGUAACAGUUGAUACUUAUUCACAUUUCAUAUGGGCAACUUGCCAAACAGGAGAAAGUACUUCCCAUGUUAAAAAACAUUUAUUAUCUUGUUUUGCUGUAAUGGGAGUUCCAGAAAAAAUCAAAACUGACAAUGGACCAGGAUAUUGUAGUAAAGCUUUCCAAAAAUUCUUAAGUCAGUGGAAAAUUUCACAUACAACAGGAAUUCCUUAUAAUUCCCAAGGACAGGCCAUAGUUGAAAGAACUAAUAGAACACUCAAAACUCAAUUAGUUAAACAAAAAGAAGGGGGAGACAGUAAGGAGUGUACCACUCCUCAGAUGCAACUUAAUCUAGCACUCUAUACUUUAAAUUUUUUAAACAUUUAUAGAAAUCAGACUACUACUUCUGCAAAACAACAUCUUACUGGUAAAAAGCACAGCCCACAUGAAGGAAAACUAAUUUGGUGGAAAGAUAAUAAAAAUAAGACAUGGGAAAUAGGGAAGGUGAUAACGUGGGGGAGAGGUUUUGCUUGUGUUUCACCAGGAGAAAAUCAGCUUCCUGUUUGGAUACCCACUAGACAUUUGAAGUUCUACAAUGAACCCAUCGGAGAUGCAAAGAAAAGGGCCUCCACAGAGAUGGUAACCCCAGUCACAUGGAUGGAUAAUCCUAUAGAAGUAUAUGUUAAUGAUAGUGUAUGGGUACCUGGCCCCACAGAUGAUCGCUGCCCUGCCAAACCUGAGGAAGAAGGGAUGAUGAUAAAUAUUUCCAUUGUGUAUCGUUAUCCUCCUAUUUGCCUAGGGAGAGCACCAGGAUGUUUAAUGCCUGCAGUCCAAAAUUGGUUGGUAGAAGUACCUACUGUCAGUCCUAACAGUAGAUUCACUUAUCACAUGGUAAGCGGGAUGUCACUCAGGCCACGGGUAAAUUAUUUACAAGACUUUUCUUAUCAAAGAUCAUUAAAAUUUAGACCUAAAGGGAAACCUUGCCCCAAGGAAAUUCCCAAAGAAUCAAAAAAUACAGAAGUUUUAGUUUGGGAAGAAUGUGUGGCCAAUAGUGCGGUGAUAUUACAAAACAAUGAAUUCGGAACUAUUAUAGAUUGGGCACCUCGAGGUCAAUUCUACCACAAUUGCUCAGGACAAACUCAGUCGUGUCCAAGUGCACAAGUGAGUCCAGCUGUUGAUAGCGACUUAACAGAAAGUCUAGACAAACAUAAGCAUAAAAAAUUACAGUCUUUCUACCCUUGGGAAUGGGGAGAAAAAGGAAUCUCUACCCCAAGACCAGAAAUAAUAAGUCCUGUUUCUGGUCCUGAACAUCCAGAAUUAUGGAGGCUUUGGCCUGACACCACAUUAGAAUUUGGUCUGGAAAUCAAACUUUAGAAACAAGAGAUCGUAAGCCAUUUUAUACUAUCGACCUAAAUUCCAGUCUAACGGUUCCUUUACAAAGUUGCGUAAAGCCCUCUUAUAUGCUAGUUGUAGGAAAUAUAGUUAUUAAACCAGACUCCCAAACUAUAACCUGUGAAAAUUGUAGAUUGUUUACUUGCAUUGAUUCAACUUUUAAUUGGCGGCACCGUAUUCUGCUGGUGAGAGCAAGAGAGGGCGUGUGGAUCUCUGUGUCCGUGGACUGACCGUGGGAGGCCUCGCCAUCCAUCCAUAUUUUGACUGAAGUAUUAAAAGGCAUUUUAAAUAGAUCCAAAAGAUUCAUUUUUACCUUAAUUGCAGUGAUUAUGGGAUUAAUUGCAGUCACAGCUACGGCUGCUGUGGCAGGAGUUGCAUUGCACUCUUCUGUUCAGUCGGUAAACUUUGUUAAUGAUUGGCAAAAGAAUUCUACAAGAUUGUGGAAUUCACAAUCUAGUAUUGAUCAAAAAUUGGCAAAUCAAAUUAAUGAUCUUAGACAAACUGUCAUUUGGAUGGGAGACAGACUCAUGAGCUUAGAACAUUGUUUCCAGUUACAGUGUGACUGGAAUACGUCAGAUUUUUGUAUUACACCCCAAAUUUAUAAUGAGUCUGAGCAUCACUGGGACAUGGUUAGACGCCAUCUACAGGGAAGAGAAGAUAAUCUCACUUUAGACAUUUCCAAAUUAAAAUAACAAAUUUUCGAAGCAUCAAAAGCCCAUUUAAAUUUGAUGCCAGGAACUGAGGCAAUUGCAGGAGUUGCUGAUGGCCUCGCAAAUCUUAACCCUGUCACUUGGGUUAAGACCAUCGGAAGUACUAUGAUUAUAAAUCUCAUAUUAAUCCUUGUGUGCCUGUUUUGUCUGUUGUUAGUCUGCAGGUGUACCCAACAGCUCCGAAGAGACAGCGACCAUCGAGAACGGGCCAUGAUGACGAUGGCGGUUUUGUCGAAAAGAAAAGGGGGAAAUGUGGGGAAAAGCAAGAGAGAUCAGAUUGUUACUGUGUCUGUGUAGAAAGAAGUAGACAUAGGAGACUCCAUUUUGUUCUGUACUAAGAAAAAUUCUUCUGCCUUGAGAUUCUGUUAAUCUAUGACCUUACCCCCAACCCCGUGCUCUCUGAAACAGGUGCUGUGUCAAACUCAGGGUUAAAUGGAUUAAGGGUUGUGCAAGAUGUGCUUUGUUAAACAAAUGCUUGAAGGCAGCAUGCUCCUUAAGAGUCAUCACCACUCCCUAAUCUCAAGUACCCAGGGACACAAAAACUGCGGAAGGCCGCAGGGACCUCUGCCUAGGAAAGCCAGGUAUUGUCCAAGGUUUCUCCCCAUGUGAUAGUCUGAAAUAUGGCCUCAUGGGAAGGGAAAGACCUGACCGUCCCCCAGCCCGACACCCGUAAAGGGUCUGUGCUGAGGAGGAUUAGUAUAAGAGGAAGGCAUUCCUCUUGCAGUUGAGACAAGAGGAAGGCAUCUGUCUCCUGCCCGUCCCUGGGCAAUGGAAUGUCUCGGUAUAAAACCCGAUUGUACGUUCCAUCUACUGAGAUAGGAAGAAAACGCCUUAGGGCUGGAGGUGGGACAUGCAGGCAGCAAUACUGCUUUGUAAAGCAUUGAGAUGUUUAUGUGUAUGCAUAUCUAAAAGCACAGCACUUGAUUCUUUACCUUGUCUAUGAUGCAAAGACCUUUGUUCACGUGUUUGUCUGCUGACCCUCUCCCCACUAUUGUCUUGUGACCAUGACACAUCCCCCUCUCAGAGAAACACCCACGAAUGAUCAAUAAAUACUAAGGGAACUCAGAGACGGCGCGGAUCCUCCAUAUGCUGAACGCUGGUUCCCUGGGUCCCCUUAUUUCUUUCUCUAUACUUUGUCUCUGUGUCUUUUUCUUUUCCAAGUCUCUCAUUCCACCUUAAGAGAAACACUCACAGGUGUGGAGGGGCAACCCAUCCCUUCAGAGGUGGGUGGAUCACCUGAGGUCAGGAGUUCAAGACAAGCCUGGCCAACAUGGUGAAACCCCAUCUCUACUAAAAAUACAAAAUUAGCCAGGUGUGGUGGCAGGUGUCUGUAGUCCCAGCUACUUGGGAGGCUGACGAGAAUCGCUUGAACCUGGGAGGGGGAGGUUUCAGUGAGCCGAGAUUGCACCACUGCACUCCAGCCUGGGGGACAGAGUGAAACUCUGUCUCAAAAAAACAACAAAAAACCCCACCUAUAGACAGGACUAGCUACAUAAAUAACUUGCAGGGCUCAGUGUAAAAUGAAAGUGUGAGGUCCCUUUUUCAAAGACGUAGAAGGCCGGGUGCGGUGGCUCAUGCCUGUAAUCCCAGCACUUUGGGAGGCUGAGGCAGGCAGGUUAUGAGGUCAGGAGUUCGAGACAGCCUGACCAAUAUGGUGAAACCCCAUCUCUACUAAAAAUACAAAAAUUAGCUGGGUGUGGUAGCGGGCGCCUGUAGUCCCAGCUACUCAGGAGGCUGAGGCAGAAGAAUUACUUGAACCCAGGAGACGGAGGUUGCAGUGAGCUGAGAUCGUGCCACUGCACUCUCCAGCCUCCUCGGUGACAGAGCGAGACUCUGUCUCAAAAAAAAAAAAAAAAACAGAAAAAGGUGCUAUUAAAGAUACCAAAAUAUAAGGCACUUUCCUUUAUUCUGCAAUCUGUCUCUCCACUUUUCAUAGUAUUUUUUCAUUUGUUAUUUAACAUCAUGUUUUGUCAGGUGAGGACAUUUACUCAGCCAGUGCAGCACUCACUGGUAUCCAGGGGCCAUAGGUGAUUUGACGCACCCACAUGGCCCACCAGCUGUUGAGUUCCACCUCCAGCCAGCCACUGGACCAACAUGCAGUGCCCUGGCUGGGGGCAGGAAAGUCUAACAAACCAUUUCAUUCCACUGUCCUCCUGGCCAAACCCACAGAGGACAGGUAAACCCCCUUGUAUGUGUUUUGUACUUGGAUCUGGGGUGGGCAUCAAGUCACUUGCAGAAUGUAUGAUGGUGCUGCCAGCUUGGGGGAAGGAGGAGGGCAGCAGUAGUAUUGGAGGGGAGGGGAAAGAUAGGCCAUUGUCAGGGAACUGCAGACUCAGCCCGUGGAGGCAGCUGGGGAAGCAGCAGAAAGCGGUACUGCACGUUAGCUGAGACACCAAGCCCUAGGCACAUGCUCUAUUAUUCUCUUGUACUACUUCACUGAUAAAACACAAAAUUAAAGAUAGAAUUAGACUUUCAAGACAGCAACAGCAGAAAAUUAAACCCCAAGUAUGGGACCCUCCUUAGCACAGUGCCGUAUGCAACUGCACUGGUCACACAACUUGAAGCUGGCUCUGCCUUUAGAUUACAAGAAAUUUGGGCAGGGUGUGGCAGUUCAUGCCUGUAAUCCCAGCACUUUGGGAGGACAAAGCCAGAGGAUAGCUUGAGGCCAGGAAUUUGAGACCAGACUGGUCAACCUAGAGAGACUCUGUUUCUACAAAAUCUAAAAAAAAAAUUAGCUGGGCAUGGUGGUGCAUGCCUGCAGUCUCAGCUACUUGGGAGGCUGAGGUGGGAGGAUCGCUUGAUCUCAGGAGUUUGAGGCUGCAGUGACACGUGAUUGUACCACUGCACUCCAGCCUGGGUGACAGAGCAAGAUCCUGUCUCAGAAAAAAAAAAGAAAAAAUUUUAGUGACUUUGUUAACCAGUUACAAUGUAUGGAUUUCAUUUAAGCCCUGCUUAAAUGGACCUGGGGUAAUUAGAGUACUUAUUGGAUUUUUGUUAUUAAGAUUUACUGUUAAUUUUUUAGGUUUUAUGAUUGUACUGUGGUUAUUUUUUAGUUAUUUUUUCAAAGUACAUACUAAAUAUAUUUACAGAUGAAAGAACAUGUCUGAGUCAGGCAUGAUGGCUCACGCUUGUAAUGUCAGCACUUUGGGAGGCUGAGGUGGCUGGAUCACUUCAGGUCAGGAGUCUGAGACCAGCCUGACCAACAUGGUGAAUCCCUGUCUCUACUAAAAAAAUACAAAAUCAGCCAGGUGUGAUGGUGCAUAUCUGUAAUCCCAGCUACUUGGGAGGCUGGGGCAGGAGAAUUGCUUGAACCCAGGAAGUGGAAGUUGCAGUGAGCCGUGAUCACGCCAUUGUACUCCAGCCUGGGCAACAAGAGAAAUUCUGUCUCAAAAAAAAAAAAAAGAAAUAACAUAUUUAAGAUUUGCUUUAAAAUAAUCUGAAGGCAGAGUUAGUGGGUGUGAUAAUUAAUAUUAGAUAUCAAAUUGAUUGGAUUGACAGAUGCCUAGAUGCUGAAUCAUUGUUUCUAGGUGUGUCUGUGAGGGUGUUUCCGGAGGAGAUUUACUUGUGAGUCAGUGGACUGAGAGGGAAGGACUCACCCUGAAGGUGGACAGGCACCAUGCAAUCAGCUGGCCCAACUAGGACAAAGCAGGCAGAAGAAGGGGGAUACUCAGCUCAUACUGCUUUAUUUCUCUUGCUCCCUUCUCGAGUGGGAUGCCAUCUUUCUUCUGCCCUUGCACAUCAUACUCCAGGUUCUUUGGGUUUUGGACUCUGGAACUUGCACCAGCAGCCUCUCGGGGAUUCUCAGGCCUUCAGCCACAGACACAACAACCGACCAGCAUUGAUGUUAAAGAAGAGAUAUCAAGACUGACAGAAAGGACUUUUUGUGGCAAAAAGGUAUCAAAAGAUAAACAAGACCCAAGGCCAUGCCAGAGACAAGGCCUGGAGUUACCCAUGCUGGAGUGCAGUGGUGUGACUGUAGCUCCCUGCAGCCUCGAACUCCUUGGCCUCAAUUGAUCCUGCCACCUUACCUUCUGAGUAACUGGGACUACAGUGUGUGUCACCACACCUUUUUUUUUUUUGACAUGAGGGAUAUAUGCUGGUAAUAAAAAUAAAAUUUUGGGGUAUGGCAAUAGGCAUGCUACUCAAAAUGCUGCCAAGUUACAAAGUGUAACUAUGAUUUGUAAUGGAUAGCAGCAGUGACAAGUGAUGAGAAUGGUCUCUUGUCAUGACUACUCUGUUAUAGUGUAAAAGCAGCCAUAGACAGUAGAUAAAUGAAUAAGUAUGGCUGUAUUCCAAUAAAGUUUUACUCAUGGACACUGAAAUAUGAAUUUCAUAUAAUUUUGUGUCACAAAAUAUUAAAUUUUUUUUCUAGCCAUUAAAAAUGUACAAAGCAUAAUUAGCUGUGGACUGUACAAAAGCAGGAAGCAGGUUGGACAUGGCUUUUGGGCCAUAGUUGGCCAACCCCUGCUAGAGAACAUCUAUACAUAGCAGCCUUUUGAGUAGUUUUGUUCAUCUGAGGUCAUGAAAAGGAAUUAGUAUUGGCAGGGUGCGGUGGCUCACGCCUGUAAUCCCAGCACUUUGGGAGGCAAAGGCGGGCAGAUCACCUGAGGUCAGGAGUUUGAGACCAGCCUGACCAACAUGGUGAAACCCCGUCUCUACAAAAAAUUAGCCGGGUGUGGUGGCGCAUGUCUGUAAUCCCAGCUACUGGGGAGGCUGAGGCAGGAGAAUAGCUUGAACCCAGGAGGUGGAGGUUGCAGUGAGCCGAGAUUGUGCAUUGCACUCCAGCCUGAGCAACAGGAGCGAAACUCUGUCUCAAAAAAACAAAAAACAAAAAAACAAAAAAACAAGGUGGCACAGCUGGCUUGAGCAACUGAACUGGAAACAAGAUGCAGGACCCCAACGCAGACACUGAGUGGAAUGACAUCUUAACGCAAAAAGGGUAUCUUACCCCCCAAGGAAAGUCUGAAAGAAUUGGAAGAGGAGGCAGAAGAGGAGCAGCGCAUCCUCCAGCAGUCAGUGGUGAAAACAUAUGAAGAUAUGACUUUGGAAGAGCUGGAGGAUCAUGAAGACGAGUUUAAUGAGGAGGAUGAAUGUGCUAUUGAAAUGUGCAGACAGCAGAGACUGGCUGAGUGGAAAGCAACUAAACUGAAGAAUAAAUUUUGAGAAGUUUUGGAGAUCUCAGGGAAGGAUUAUGUUCAAGAAGUUACCAAAGCUGGUGAGGGCUUGUGGGUCAUCUUGCACCUUUACAAACAAGGAAUUCCCCUCUGUGCCCUGAUAAAUCAGAACCUCAGUGGACUUGCCAGGAAGUUUCCUGAUGUCAAAUUUAUCAAAGCCAUUUCAACAACCUGCAUACCCAAUUAUCCUGAUAGGAAUCUGCCCCGAUAUUUGUUUACCUGGAAGGAGAUAUCAAGGCUCAGUUUAUUGGUCCUCUGGUGUUUGGUGGCAUGAACCUGACAAGAGAUGAGUUGGAAUGGAAACUGUCUGAAUCUGGAGCAAUUAUGAUGGACCUGGAGGAAAACCCUAAGAAGCCGAUUGAAGAUGUAUUGCUGUCAUCAGUGUGGCACUCUGUCCUCAUGAGGAGGGACAGCGAUUCUGAGGGUGACUGAGGCUACAGCUGCUAUCACAUGCCGAACUUUCUUGUGACAAAUGUCUGGAUUUUUUAAAAAAGGAAAAAGCAAGAAUGAAUCCUUCUGGUUUUUAGUUUUGUAUAAAUUAUGUUUCAAAUCUUUACAUUUUGGAAAUAAUCAUUGCUGGAAAUUCUGUUAAAUAUUUUGGAACUUUUUUUUAAAUUAUAGUAUUUCCUCUAAAAAAAUUAAAACCAGCCAUUAGUAAAAAAAAAAAAGAAAAGGAAUUAGUAUUUUAAAAGAGAUUAUUCAUAUUCCUUCUGUGCUGUAGGUUUUGUAUUGUAGUUAAAUACAAAACUCAGUGAUUUCAAAGUUUUAAAAGUCCAAUUUCUAAAGAUAAAAACACAUUUGCAUUUCUCAGCAUACUCAGCAUACCAAUAUACAUUACAUAUUUCUGUGUUUGAUAUUAUCUUCUCUUCACUGGAAAGGUAAAAUUUUUUUUGUUUUGUUUUGAUACGGAGUCUUGCUCUGUUGCCCAGGCUAGAGUGCAGUUGCGCGAUCUCGACUCACUGCAACCUCCGCCUCCCAGGUUCAAGUGAUUCUCCUGCCUCAGCCUCCUGAGUAGUGGGAUUACAGGCAUGUGCCACCACAUCCGGCUGAUUUUUAUAUUUUUUAGUAGAGACAGGGUUUCAGCACGUUGGCCAGGCUUGUCUUGAACUCCUGACCUCAGGUGAUCCACCCACCUUGGCCUCCCAAAGUGCUGGGAUUACAGGCAUGAGCCACUGCGCCCAGCCAGAAUUGGCUAACAUUAUUAUGGAGGUUGGCAAAUUCAAAAACUUCAGGGCGGACCAGCAGGCUAGAUAGAGACCCAGACAAGAGCCAAUGCUGUGAUUCAAAUCUGAAAGCCUGUCUGUUGCAGAAUUCCUUUUGGCUCAAGAGAGGUCAGUCUUCUACUCAGUUCAACUGAUUGGUUGAGGCACACCCACAUUAUCGCAAGACCACCUUCACAGAGACAUUCAGAAUAACAUUUGACCUCAUAUAUGGGCACCGUGGCCCUGCCACGUUCACCCAUAAAUUUACAAUCAUACCUCCUCAUUAAAAAAACAAAGGGCUGGGCUAGUGGUGGCUCACACCUGUAAUCCCAGUACUUUGGGAGGCCAAGGUGGGUGGAUCACCUAAGAUUGGGAGUUCGAAACCAGCCUGACCAACAUGGAGAAACCACAUCUCUACUAAAAGUACAAAAUUAGCCAGGCGUGGUGGUGCAUGCCUGUAAUCCCAGCUACUCGGGAGGCUGGGGCAGGAUAAUCGCUUGAACCCAGGAGGCAGAGGUUGCGGUGAGCGAGAUCACACCGUUACACUCCAGCCUGGCAACAGGGCAACAAGAGCAAAACUCCGUCUCAAAAAAAAAAAAAAAGAAAAAGAAAAAAAAUCGCCCAAGCGUGAUAGCUCACACCUAUAAUCCCAGCACUUUAGGAAACUGAGGCAGGAGGAUUGCUUGAGGCCAGGAGUUCAAGACCAGCCUGGGCAACAUAGUGAGACCCUGUUUCUAUAAAAAUAAUAAAAAAUGAAAACAAUUUUAAUUAAAAAAAGGAGUCAAGUCAAAGGUGGGAGGAAAGAGCAAAACUACCACUCUUAAAAUGUUCCGAAGCUUCUAAGCGCUAGAAAUCUUCCAGGUAGAAAUUAAAGUUAGAAUUUAAAAAAUAUAUUGUUCUGUAAAAAAUAAAGAACUUAUUCACUUAAUUUUCUUUUUUGGUUUUCUUUUCUGUUUUUUUGAGACGGAGAUUCGUUCUGUCGCCCAGGCUGGAGUGCAAUGGCGAAAUCUCGGCUCACUCCCCUCCCACACCCUGUGCCGGGUUCAAGCGAUUCUCCUGUCUCAGCCUCCCAAAUAGCUGUGAUUUUAUUUUAUUUUAUUGAGGGAGGGUCUUGCUCUGUUGCCCAGGCUGGAGUGCAGUGGCCCGAUCUCAGCUCACUGCAGCCUCAACUUCUGGGCUUAAGCAAUCCUCCCACCUGCCUCAUGAGUGGCUGGGGCUACAGGCACACACCACCAUGCCCAGCUAGUUUUUGUAUUUUUACUACAGAUGGAGUUUUGCCAUGUUGCCCGGGCUUGCAUUCUUAUUUUUAAGUAAGUCUUUGAAAUCCAGUGUGUAUUUUACACUUAUAGCACAUCUCAUUUAGGACUAGCCACAUUUCCAAUGCUCAGUAGCCAAAAGUGGAUAUUAGCUACCAUAUUAGACAAUGCAUCUCUAAGGGGUGAGAUUAUCGAAACUUUCACUUUGUAUUUUACAUAUUAUUUUGUUUUCCUGAAUGUUAAAAAAACCAUAUAUUGCUCAUACAGUCAGAAACCAUAAUAAAAUAAAAAGUCAAUUGCUCUGAAGUCAGAAAGAAUUAUGCUUUUGAGUAGGUGUUAUACAAUAGUAAAAACCAAACAGUAGAAAAGGUUAUAUACUGACAGUUUUAUGUGUGUUCUCUGUGCACUUGUCUAGAAGAUGGGCCACAAUUUUUGUAGAUUAUGGUCUUUCAGAAGUGGUCAGUAAACCAAAAAGAAAUUUAAAACCAAAGUCAAAGAAUUUCAACAACAAAAUUCCACAGAAUUUAGACAGAGGGUUAAUUACUUUGCCAUGUUAUAAUGAGGUUCUAUCCAGGCUUCUUGUCAGGAAUUAGUGCUAGACAAAUAGGAAGCUCUUUGAGGGAGAGAAAAACAACACAGGUUGGGGGACCAGUGAAUAAUUGCUUCCACUACCCCUCUAGAGGUAAACUACCAACCUAUCAUCCCUGAAACCAAUGAGAUUUCAGGAGGAUGGACAACAUUUUUUAAAUUUUGAGACAGGAUCUCACUCCGUCACCAAGGCUGAACUGCAAUGGCAUGAUCACAGCUCAUUGCAGCCUCAAACUCUGGCCUGAGCAAUCCUCCCACCACAGCCUCCCCAGUAGCUGGGCCCACAGGCUUGUGCCACCAUACUCGGCUAAUUCAUUUUAAUUUUUGCAGAGACAGGAUCUCUCUAUAUUGCCCAGGCUGGUCUUGAAUUCCUGGGCUUAAGCGAUCCCCUGCCUCGGCCUCCCAAAGUGCUAGAAUUAUAGGCAUGGGCCACCGCAUCCUGCCUAGUCAGAACAUGCUUAAAGCAGGAAUCUUAAAUAGAAUGCAAUGUCAGCUGGGCACGGUGGCUCACGCCUGUAAUGCUAGCACCUUGGGAGGCCGAGGCGAGCAGAUCACUUGAGGCUAGGAAUUGGAGACCAGCCUGGCCAACAUGGUGAAGCCCCAUUUCUACUGAAAAUACAAAAAAAAAAAAAAAUGGCUGGGAGUGGUGGCUCACACCUGUAGUCCCAGCUACUUUGGAGGCUGAAAGGAGGAUCGCUUGAGCCUGGGAAGCGGAGGUUGCAGUGAGCCGAGAUUGCGCCACUGCACUCCAGCCUGGGCGACAGAGGGAGACUGUCUCAAAAAAAAAAAAAAGAAAAAAGAAUGCAAUGUCAGGGCUAGAAAAAAUGAAGAAUUAACCAACUCAAGAUGAGAUUCUAAAAUAUUCAUUUUAUUUUCCCCCCUGUGUAUCAGCUAAAUAUGAGGAAAAAAAGAGGUGGAAGUAUAAAUUAAUUUCAAGAAUAUUUUUCAGGUUAUUUAGGUAAACUAAAUAAAUAAUAAAGUAAAUAAACCAGAAGAAGUUGUGUUUUGUUUAAAAGAGUAGUAAAGAAAUCCUUGACGUUUCUAUUUCAUCUCUUUUGAAGUUUUUCUGAAAGGCAGUAGAACUUUUAUAAAAAUGAUUCAUUAUAUUCUCAAUUGAAAAUUUAGGGGCUGGGGGCAGUGACUCAUGCCUGUUAUCCCAGCACUUUGGGAGGCUAAGGCGGGCGGAUAACUUGAGGUCAGGAGUUAGAGACCAGCCUGGCCAACAUGUUGAAACCCCAUCUCUACUAAAAAUACAAAAAUUAGCUGGGUGUGGUGGCGCACAGCCUGUAAUCCCAGCUACUCGGGAGGCUGAGGCAAGAGAAUGGCUUGAACCUGGGGGGUGGGGACAGAGGCUGCAGUGAGCCGAGAUUGCGCCAUUGUACUCUAGCCUGGACAACAAGAGUGAAACUCCAUCACAAAAAAAAAAAAAAAAAAAAAUUAAAAGAAUGCAAAAUAUCUCAUUAUUUUUUAUGUUGUUUAUAUGUUGAAAUGCUAAUAUGAAUAAAUAAAAUAUAUUUUGUCUUUUUAAAAUAUGGCUAUUAGCUAACUUAAAAUUUCAUAUGAGGUACACCUAUUUCUCUUGGACAGUGCCACCUUAGCAACAAUUUAAAAAUCAGUAAGUACCUUUUGCCGGGCGCGGUGGCUCAUGCCUGUAAUCCCAGCACUUUGGGAGGCCGAGGCGGGAGGAUCACCUGAGGUUGGGAGUUCAAGACCAGCCUGACCAACGUGGUGAAAGCCCAUCUCUACUGAAAAUACAAAAUUAGUCGGGCGUAUUGUCGUAUGCCUGUAAUCCCAGCUACUCGCGAGGCGGAGGCAGGAGAAUCGUUUGAACCUGGGAGGCAGAGGUUGUGGUGAGCCAAGAUCACGCCAUUGCACCCCAGCCUGGGCAACAAGACCAAAACUCUGUCUCAACGACAACAACAACAAAAAAUCAGUACCUUUUAUUGAGUAUUUACCACAUGUUAGGCACUAUUUGGAUUUCUAACAUGAUUUAAUUGAUUAGAUUAUCACAAUAGUGAUAUGGAUUGGGAAUUAUUAAUAUUACCAUUUUUCACAGGGCAGACCACAGAGUUUAAAUUACAAGUCAAGAUAAUGCUGCUGGCAAAUAACAAUAAUGGGAUUCUUCCAUGGUCUAGCUUUGGAGCCUGGUGCUCCUUCAGUAUGCUAAACAGGCUCUGUUGUCUGGGGUCUCCAUGGUUCAGACUUUGUUAAAUUUUUUCACACUUUACUGAUACAUAAUUUUUUUAAAAAACUGGAAUCAUAGUAUACUUAUGUAUUGCAAUUUGCUGGAAAAUUAAAAAAGACAAAAAACCUUACACCUUGGUUAUCUUCCCAUUAACCAGGUGUGCUAGUUGGUACCCAGCAAAACAACAUCACCAUUCCCAUUCUGACUCAAACAUAACUGUUCACAAGCAUUUCUUAUAUUGUGGUUUCUUUCCAUUGUCAUGGAUUUUGGGCUCUAGUUUCUCUGGGGCCUUUUGUUAGCCAUAGACACUGCAGUGAUAAUUUUUUGUCUGCUGCCAUUAUGAAAAACUGAUUUUAAAAAAUUAUUAUUAUUGUUAGAGAUAAAAAUAAUAAUACCUCUACUUCUAGUACCAUCCAGUUUUUCCUAAUCAUUUGCAGGACAAGAAUGAAGAUGAGAUUUAAUCUAUAAUUGGAGAAGCAGAAGUUGUAGCUUCAUGAUAUGUGAUUCAGGCCACAUAGCCAUAUUCCUCUCAAGGCUGAAAAUAUUUUAAAUUUCCAACAGCUUUAAGUUUAAAUUAUU